rnacentral:rRNA from 1 species
AUUGAACGCUGACGGCAGGCCUAACACAUGCAAGUCGAGCGAGCGGCGGACGGGUGAGUAAUGGAUGGGGACUGACCGGUAGAGGGGGAUAACUACUGGAAACGGUAGCUAAUACCGCAUACUAUCGGAUAACCCAUAUGGGAUUAGCUAGUAGGUGAGGUAAUGGCCAACUUAGGCGACGAUCCCUAGAUGGUCUGAGAGGAUGUUCAGCCACACUGGGACUGAGACACGGCCCAGCCUCCUACGGAGGCAGACGUGGGGAAUAUUGCACAAUGGGCGCAAGCCUGAUGCAGCCAUGCCGCGUGUAUGACGAAGGCUCUAGGGUUUUAAAGUACUUUCAGUCGGGAGGCGUUACCGACAGAAGAAGCACCGGCUAACUCCGUGCCAGCAGCCGCGGUAAUAC